rnacentral:rRNA from 1 species
UACGAAGGGGGCUAGCGUUGCUCGGAAUUACUGGGCGUAAAGGGCGCGUAGGCGGAUAUUUAAGUUAGAGGUGAAAGCCCAGGGCUCAACCCUGGAACAGCCUUUAAUACUGGAUAUCUUGAGUUCGGGAGAGGUGAGUGGAACUCCGAGUGUAGAGGUGAAAUUCGUAGAUAUUCGGAAGAACACCAGUGGCGAAGGCGGGUCUCUGGGCCGAUACUGACGCUGAGGAGCGAAAGCGUGGGGAGCGAACAGG